rnacentral:misc_RNA from 1 species
CUUGGGAUACUUGUUCCUAUCUUUGCCGAUGUUAUCUUUGGCUGCGCUUCAUAUCUGAGUGUUGGGAGUGGACUGGUCGCCUUUCAAGUUGAAAUUGUAAUGUCCAACUUGAUACGGUCUGGCGAUCGGUCUUUGGCUACGGCAGCUCCAACAUUUCAGCUGACAUUACUGCUCCCUUACGGGAUUGUAUACUUCCACAGUGGUUACGUAUGUUUCCACACUCAGUGUACCCGGCGCUUCGGCGGAUGGACUACACUGGUAGGUGCCCUCCGGGGAAGAAACCUAUAUUAUUACAACUCCAUGUGGUGGAUCACUCGGCUCACGUAUCGAUGAAGAGUGCAGCAAACUGUGUUAACCAAUGUGAAACGCAAACUGCUUCGAUCAUCGGUCUCUCGAACGCAAAUGGCGGCUUUGGGCUUGCCCUUAGCCACGUUUGAUCGAGUGUCGGCUUUUACCUAUCGCGCAACUUAAUUAUGCGUGGAUUGGGAAGUUUACCAUGGCUGUGUGCUUAAACUGUCCAGUAGCGGGCGAUAGCAAGCUUCGGCUUGUGGAGUUGAGGGUUGAUUGGAUUACACGAACUAUACGGUUUCCUUUCGUCUUCGGCUCAACUGUCAAAUGCGCUGGGGCUUGAUCUGAUCAGGCUUUACAGACCCGACCUGCAUACACGAACUAUACGGUUUGUGGGUUGGUGAAACAGCUCUAGUGGUUCUUCCUUAAUAACAUGAGUAGUGCUAGUAAGUACGUUAAUGACUUGCUCUACACUGGGUGUGUGGCUUAGUGAAAACUUUGUAACGCUGUACAGUUGUAGAUUGAGUUGUGCUUGCUAUACUCAUCUUAUUCAAUAGUCCUGACCUCGAUCAAGC